rnacentral:rRNA from 1 species
AUUGAACGCUGGCGGCAGGCCUAACACAUGCAAGUCGAACGAGUGGCGGACGGGUGAGUAAUGUCUGGGAAACUGCCCGAUGGAGGGGGAUAACUACUGGAAACGGUAGCUAAUACCGCAUACCAUCGGAUGUGCCCAGAUGGGAUUAGCUAGUUGGUGGGGUAACGGCUCACCCAGGCGACGAUCCCUAGCUGGUCUGAGAGGAUGAACAGCCACCCUGGAACUGAGACAGGGUCCAGACUCCUACGGGAGGCAGCAGUGGGGAAUAUUGAACAAUGGGCGCAAGCCUGAUGCAGCCAUGCCGCGUGUAGGAAGAAGGCCUUAGGGUUGUAAAGUACUUUCAGCGGGGAGGCGUUACCCGCAGAAGAAGCACCGGGUAACUCCGUGCCAGCAGCCGCGGUAAUAC